AAAAUUCUUAUGCAAUUGGAGAAUAUUUGAUUGAGGCAAAAGAAAAAUUGGGUCCUUGAAGUGAGAUGAGGUAAUCGGACCUCGAGAUAUUAUAGCUUUUUUAUUUUAUGGAAAGUACGAUGAUAAAUUUCUUUGAGCCAGGAGUAAAAGUGCUAGUUAAAUAAAUCGAGACCUGAUAAUUAUGAUGUGACCGGGUGAAUUGAAUUGGAUGAAAAAAAUUAUACCCACUUAUAUAAUAUCUUCCUCUUACGGUUGCAAAAUGAAAACAAAAUCAAUUACUAUCCUAUACGUAGAGUAUGCAUACCCAUGAUAUGUAUGUAUAUUAUUUAUAUCGUUAGUCAUAAUAUAUGGUCAUUCAUAUAAGUAUACGUAUAUGAUAGAAAGAAAUAUAAAUAUUGUAUAUAUUUAUGCCUAUGCAUAUAUAUAUUCAUGAACUCAUUUGUGUAUAACUAUUUCAUAUAAUAAUAUGGAAAAUCUCAUCGAAUAUACAAUAUAUUAUAUAUACACACACACACACGGUAUUCUACUAAUGUAUGAAACUUCAUCUUGAAAAUAUUUUUCAAUCAGUGGUGCUUUCGUUCGAUCAAUGUAUGAUCAUUAAACUGUAAUGAGGGUGAGAGACGAACAAUAAAUAAUCAUAUUCUAUGUAUGCACUAUCCGACUUUCCCUGUAUUAAAAAUAAUAGUGCAGUGUUAAAUUAUCAUAGCGAAAUUUUGCACGAAAAUAUCAAGAAUUUAUCCACUCGAGAAAGCUACCUUAAAAAAUUUACGCAGAUACGAAGUGUAAUAAAAGUAGCGCGUUUGUAGAUGAAGGCUCUAUUGUUAUAUAAUUUGUCAUCAAUAUAAAGGCUGUGGUUCUUGGUCAUCAUAAUAACCCUCAUGCUUUUGCUGUAAUUAGGAGCUGAGUCGUGCUAGCAGAAAAAGUUUGACAAUGACAUCUGAUAAGGCAACGAAGAGUGCUGUCGUUACAGCCUAUGUAAAGAAACUUGCUUGGGAAAAUCUCACGAAGGGCGCUAUUGUUAAUCAUCGCACAUCACAUGGAAUAACUCCUCUUCUUGCGGCGGUAGAACAUGGUGACAUUGACUUGAUCAUACUCAUCUGCACUCACAAUCAGCCUAAAAGCAUAGAUAUAUCUAUGCUAAAAGCCCUAUCAACCUGCAGGAAAAGACUAUACACAUAUCUGAAAUUCUCCAUCUUUUCCAUAACGUUAAAGUUGAUCAUUGGUUUUUCUUUUUUAUUAAUGACAAUAAUUGUCGUUUCAUAUAGGGUCAACCCCCUUGCAUUUGUGGGUUCUGUACGGCCACAGAGUAAUUAUGCUCGGGCUACUACGUCGAGGAGCAUUAGUAAAUUGUUCGGAUACCCUAGGCCGUUAUCCACUGCAUUUUGCAGCAACUCAAAAGGACGUCGGAAGUGCGAGAAUGCUAAUAAGAUUUGGUGAUCGCAUCAAUGUCUACGACGCUUUUUCCGACAGCCCUCUUUCUAUCAGCGUUUUACGUAGGCCUUGCGUAGCAAUGGCGAGGCUCUUUUUAGCUAACCGAGCGUCCUCUGGUCCGCCGCCCGAUUGGUCUUGGUAUGGGCCUUCUUCUAGAAGCGGUUCUGAGUGCGCGUCGCACUUCAAACUUCGAAGCUAUCAAGGUUCUAAUUUGGGCAGGAGAGGGUUGUAAAUAUCGUAGAUCCCAUGGGAUUGAAAACGCCUCUACAUUUAGUCGCGAUUAACGGACAUCUGGAAUUAGCUGAAAGGAGACCCCGCCAAGUGCCACCCACCGAUUUUGAUAAAACUUCGCAGGAUGAAAGAGUAACAAAAAUAAACGGAUACGUGUUUUGGCUUAUCCGUAGACGCUCAACCGUUUUCGAUUUCGAGAAAAUUACGGUUGAAACAUGGAAAAUUUUGACGCCGCUUCAUGAGUCCGCCCGCGCGCUAUCGCCUCAAGCGUGUCGGCGGUGCAGCGGCUAACGCGACAGCUUCGAGAUGUGACGCUCCGCGCUUGAGUCCUGAUCAAAAUUUUUUUUUUUUUUUUUCUCAAAUUCUUCGUCAAAGUAUGCUGCGCGAACGUUCCUUAUUUUAUUGAUAAAUACAAGGACGCUGUAUUUAAAUUACAAUUCAUCAUUUCGAAGCAACUGUCCGUUAUUCUGAAUUAUGCUACGGGGUAGGUUUUCAGGUAGGCUCGCUAGCCGUAGCCAACAGGCCAUUUUUUUUUAGAAAAUAAUACGAAAUAUUUUGGACUGGUAAAAAACUAUAUUCGACGUCUCCAAAACUGCCCCGUCCUGAUUGCUCAGCGGAGAGAAAUCACAAGCAGACGCGACGCAAUAAAAAUACACUCCCUGGUCCACAAUCAAUUGCGGGCACCAGCAUUUGAAAAAAUGAUUCGGUACGCAUGAUUCGCCGCAAAAUUAUCGGCGGAUCGCGAGGUUUUCAAUAACGUCAACGACAUUGCGUUUCCGGACGACGUUCACACCCAGAACUGUGAUUGCGGCCAAAGUGCCUUCGCGCGUUGCUCCUGGUGCAGAGAAUAUUUAUGUUUUGAAUGUUGCUAUGAUAGGUACCAUCCCGACGAAUGCGCUACAUAUCGUUGAAUUAAUCGGGAGAUAAUGUAAUAAUUAACAUAAAAAUUAAGCCACUCGCUGCUAUCCAUUUGUUAUUUCCAAAUAUUUUUGAACCCAAUACCCUGUAGCAUAAUUGUAAUGAUUGUAAUUUAAAUACAGCGUCCUUGUAUUUAUCAAUAAAAUAAGGAACGUUCGCGCAGCAUACUUUGACGAAGAAUUUGAGAAAAAAAAAAAAAAAAAUUUUGAUCAGGACUCAAGCGCGGAGCGUCACAUCUCGAAGCUGUCGCGUUAGCCGCUGCACCGCCGACACGCUUGAGGCGAUAGCGCGCGGGCGGACUCAUGAAGCGGCGUCAAAAUUUUCCAUGUUUCAACCGUAAUUUUCUCGAAAACGGUUGAGUGUCUACGGAUAAGCCAAAACACGUAUCCGUUUAUUUUUGUUACUCUUUCAUCGUGCGAAGUUUCAUCAAAAUUGGUGGGUGGCACUUGGCGGGGUCUCCUGUGAGUGAGAAUUUUGUCAGUGAGGCGUGUUUUGGUAUCGUUACAUUUUGUUACUAUUUUUUUUUCAUAGGUAUCUAAUUAGCCAUGGUGCCGAUUUGUACGCGAAAUAUCGCGCCGGGCAAACUCCUUUGGAAGUAGCAUUUAACUGCCGUAAUUUCAGUGUCGCGUAUCUGAUCGAAGAGAGUCGCAAUAUGCAAUCAAGAAGUCGUAUCAACCAAAUCCUCGAAUCUACCGAAGGGUCUGAU